AUUGAACGCUGGCGGCAUGCUUUACACAUGCAAGUCGAACGGCAGCGCGGGCUUCGGCCUGGCGGCGAGUGGCGAACGGGUGAGUAAUACAUCGGAACGUGCCCAGUAGUGGGGGAUAGCUCGGCGAAAGCCGGAUUAAUACCGCAUACGACCUGAGGGUGAAAGCGGGGGAUCUUCGGACCUCGCGCUAUUGGAGCGGCCGAUGGCAGAUUAGCUAGUUGGUGGGGUAAAGGCCUACCAAGGCGACGAUCUGUAGCUGGUCUGAGAGGACGACCAGCCACACUGGGACUGAGACACGGCCCAGACUCCUACGGGAGGCGGCAGUGGGGAAUUUUGGACAAUGGGCGAAAGCCUGAUCCAGCAAUGCCGCGUGUGAUGAAGGCCUUCGGUUUGUAAAGCACUUUUGGCGGGAACGAAAAGGACUGUGCCAAUACCACGGUUGCGAUGACGGACCCGCAGAAUAAGCACCGCA
rnacentral:rRNA from 1 species